CAUAGGUUAAUGAGGCGAACCGGGGGAACUGAAACAUCUAAGUACCCCGAGGAAAAGAAAUCAACCGAGAUUCCCCCAGUAGCGGCGAGCGAACGGGGAGGAGCCCAGAGCCUGAAUCAGUGUGUGUGUUAGUGGAAGCGUCUGGAAAGGCGCGCGAUACAGGGUGACAGCCCCGUACACAAAAAUGCACAUGCUGUGAGCUCGAUGAGUAGGGCGGGACACGUGGUAUCCUGUCUGAAUAUGGGGGGACCAUCCUCCAAGGCUAAAUACUCCUGACUGACCGAUAGUGAACCAGUACCGUGAGGGAAAGGCGAAAAGAACCCCGGCGAGGGGAGUGAAAAAGAACCUGAAACCGUGUACGUACAAGCAGUGGGAGCCUCUUAAUGGGGUGACUGCGUACCUUUUGUAUAAUGGGUCAGCGACUUAUAUUCUGUAGCAAGGUUAACCGAAUAGGGGAGCCGAAGGGAAACCGAGUCUUAACUGGGCGUUAAGUUGCAGGGUAUAGACCCGAAACCCGGUGAUCUAGCCAUGGGCAGGUUGAAGGUUGGGUAACACUAACUGGAGGACCGAACCGACUAAUGUUGAAAAAUUAGCGGAUGACUUGUGGCUGGGGGUGAAAGGCCAAUCAAACCGGGAGAUAGCUGGUUCUCCCCGAAAGCUAUUUAGGUAGCGCCUCGUGAAUUCAUCUCCGGGGGUAGAGCACUGUUUCGGCAAGGGGGUCAUCCCGACUUACCAACCCGAUGCAAACUGCGAAUACCGGAGAAUGUUAUCACGGGAGACACACGGCGGGUGCUAACGUCCGUCGUGAAGAGGGAAACAACCCAGACCGCCAGCUAAGGUCCCAAAGUCAUGGUUAAGUGGGAAACGAUGUGGGAAGGCCCAGACAGCCAGGAUGUUGGCUUAGAAGCAGCCAUCAUUUAAAGAAAGCGUAAUAGCUCACUGGUCGAGUCGGCCUGCGCGGAAGAUGUAACGGGGCUAAACCAUGCACCGAAGCUGCGGCAGCGACACUAUGUGUUGUUGGGUAGGGGAGCGUUCUGUAAGCCUGUGAAGGUGGCCUGUGAGGGUUGCUGGAGGUAUCAGAAGUGCGAAUGCUGACAUAAGUAACGAUAAAGCGGGUGAAAAGCCCGCUCGCCGGAAGACCAAGGGUUCCUGUCCAACGUUAAUCGGGGCAGGGUGAGUCGACCCCUAAGGCGAGGCCGAAAGGCGUAGUCGAUGGGAAAC
rnacentral:rRNA from 1 species